rnacentral:rRNA from 1 species
AAGGCAAAUGUGAAGGUGCUGCAUGGUUGUCGUCAGCUCGUGCCGUGAGGUGUCGGCUUAAGUGCCAUAACGAGCGCAACCCUUAUCUUUAGUUACUAACAGGUCAUGCUGAGGACUCUAGAGAGACUGCCGUCGUAAGAUGUGAGGAAGGUGGGGAUGACGUCAAAUCAGCACGGCCCUUACGUCCGGGGCUACACACGUGUUACAAUGGGGGGUACAGAAGGCAGCUACCUGGUGACAGGAUGCUAAUCCCAAAAGCCUCUCUCAGUUCGGAUCGAAGUCUGCAACCCGACUUCGUGAAGCUGGAUUCGCUAGUAAUCGCGCAUCAGCCAUGGCGCGGUGAAUACGUUCCCGGGCCUUGUACACACCGCCCGUCAAGCCAUGAAAGCCGGGGGUACCUGAAGUACGUAACCGCAAGGAGCGUCCUAGGGUAAAACUGGUAAUUGGGGCUAAGUCGUAACAAGGUAGCCGUACCGGAAGGUGCGGCUGGAACACCUCCUUUCUGGAGC